rnacentral:lncRNA from 1 species
GUGAAGAGAAUUGAAGAAGAAAUGUCAAAGUUGACAAAGAAAGGAACAACUCCAAGUAAUGUUGUACCCCUGCUAACUAGUCCCAUUGUUACUCAGCCACCUGAACUCACUAUACGGAGAGAGUUUAAAAUCAACGGACAAAUAGGAGAAAGGGGUCAGAGAGAUAAACUGUCUUACUCUAAUCUCAUCCAUCAGAUCGAAAUUGGACUGAAAAGAAACCACAGUGAGGCUGAGAUUAUUGAAGCAGUCGUCAGGGCAAUAAGUCCGGGUCUGAGCCUCCGCAACAUGUUGGAGAUUAAAACUGACCUCACACUUUCACAACUGCGCACGAUACUAAAAGGCCAUUACAAAGAAGAUAGCUCGACUGAUUUGUAUCAUCGGCUAAUAAAUAUCACACAAGACUCUAACGAAUCUCCCCAAAACUUCCUAUUCAAGGCAAUAGAGCUUAAAGAAAGACUUUUAGCCUCAUCUAGAGAGCCUGGCGCAGAAGAACAGUACAGUCCUGACCUUGUCCAGAAGAAAUUUCUAAGAGCUGUUGGUACUGGACUAAUAAGUGACAAUGUGAAAUACCAGCUCAAAAAUUACUUGGACGAUCUCACCGUCACUGAUGAUAUCCUGAUAGCGAAAACAAAUGAAGCAGCUAGCAUCGAAUGGGAAAGACAACAAAAGUUCAAAAGACACAGUAGAGAACUGAAAGUGAGAGAAAUUAGAGCAGAAACACAGUUAGUCCCAGAAGCAGUAGGUGGGCAUGAAGGGUCACCUUCCACCUGUACAAAAGUUAAAAGUAUAAAAGCCCAACAAACAGUGUCUCGCACGGAAACUGAACUUUUUGAUGCAAUUAAACAGCUCAAAGGGGAGAUGGACGAAAUGAAGAAGCUCAUUUAUGAAUCUCCGAGACCUGCUGCCCAACAACGAAUGAAUAGAAAGCGCGGCUGUAAAAACUGCCAGGACAGCGACAGGGGAGAUCGAUGUGAUCAUUGCUUCAAAUGUGGACUAAGUGGUCAUCUUUCACGGGGAUGUAGGACCAGAAGGGGCCCUACUGACAAGUCAGGACAGGUAGAUAUGUCAGCCAGCACUGUAACAUCCAUAUUAUCACCACCUGUAGAAAACAAAAAACAGAGUGAUGAGCCUGAAGAUGUUCACAAGCUAAUCACUGACAGUAUUCAGCAUUUAGAAAUGAAAAUAGCUGAUACAGUCGCACAGAGAGGUGAAGUUGUCCGUGUUAAUCUCCUGUCCCCGACACGAAGACAAAGGUUGCUCAAUCUAAUUGGGAAGAAAUAUGUUAUCGCUUGUCUUUUGGAUGAAGUAGAGACAAAGGCUUUAUGGGAUACUGGAUCACAGGUAUGCCUAAUAAAUGAAAAAUGG